GGGGUUUUAGCUCAAUAGGUAGAGCAUAGGCUUUGCAAGCAUAUGGUUACAGGUUCGAGACCUGUAGACUCCA
rnacentral:tRNA from 3 species